AUGAACGCUGGCGGCGUGCCUAAUACAUGCAAGUCGAGCGAACAGACGAGGAGCUUGCUCCUCUGACGUUAGCGGCGGACGGGUGAGUAACACGUGGAUAACCUACCUAUAAGACUGGGAUAACUUCGGGAAACCGGAGCUAAUACCGGAUAAUAUUGAACCGCAUGGUUCAAUAGUGAAAGACGGUUUUGCUGUCACUUAUAGAUGGAUCCGCGCCGCAUUAGCUAGUUGGUAAGGUAACGGCUUACCAAGGCAACGAUGCGUAGCCGACCUGAGAGGGUGAUCGGCCACACUGGAACUGAGACACGGUCCAGACUCCUACGGGAGGCAGCAGUAGGGAAUCUUCCGCAAUGGGCGAAAGCCUGACGGAGCAACGCCGCGUGAGUGAUGAAGGUCUUCGGAUCGUAAAACUCUGUUAUUAGGGAAGAACAAAUGUGUAAGUAACUAUGCACGUCUUGACGGUACCUAAUCAGAAAGCCACGGCUAACUACGUG
rnacentral:rRNA from 1 species